ACUCCCGGGGGUGUUCUCCUCCCAUUUGCCCCCGCGAGUGUUCCCCUCUGGAGGUUUCGCCUAUAUGGCACUUCCAAUGACUUGAGCCGGGUCUUCGUGAUCCGGCUUUUUUU
rfam:Nitratireductor indicus C115 contig3, whole genome shotgun sequence.